rnacentral:rRNA from 1 species
GAUGAACGCUGGCGGCGUGCCUAAUACAUGCAAGUCGAGCGAAUGGAUUAAGAGCUUGCUCUUAUGAAGUUAGCGGCGGACGGGUGAGUAACACGUGGGUAACCUGCCCAUAAGAAUGGGAUAACUCAGGGAAACCGGGGCUAAUACCGGAUAACAUUUUGAACCGCAUGGUUCGAAAUUGAAAGGCGGCUUCGGCUGUCACUUAAGGAUGGACCAGCGUCGCAUUAGCUAGUUGGUGAGGUACCGGCUCACCAAGGCAACGAUGCGUAGCCGACCUGAGAGUGUGAUCGGCAACGCUGGGACUUAGACACGGCCCAGACUCCUACGGGAGGCAGCAGUAGGGAAUCUUCCGCAAUGGACGAAAGUCUGACGGAGCAACGCCGCGUGAGUGAUGAAGGCUUUCGGGUCGUAAAACUCUGUUGUUAGGGAAGAACAAGUGCUAGUUGAAUAAGCUGGCACCGUGACGGUACCUAACCAGAAAGACACGGCUAACUACGUGCCAGCCGCCGCAGUAA